AUCCUUGCUUCGGGCAGUGGCGGCUGCAUCGGGAAGCGGAAGCGGGCGGAGACGUUUCCGGCCUGGAGGAAGGGCUGUGAGCCGUGAGAGUGCUUCGCGGGCCAGUGGGGGUAGAUCGACGGGUGUGGCAUCGCUGGUGGCUUGGUUCUUUGAUACCAGUAUAAAAAGGCAUUCGUAGCCAGCGUUUACUCCUGCUUUUCGGCGUUCUUGGAUUUGGGGGCACCAGCUGUGGGGUGCGGUCCGUGCGUAGAGCCGUCAACCUGACCCUGCCCCUGGGCUCCCAGUGUGGCUCUUGAUAACGUAGGCACGCGUUCGCCAUCUUGGGCACGCUGGUCGCCAGCUCCUCACGCCGAGUGCUCUGCCCGCCUCAGCCUCCUGAGCUACUGGAACUACAGACGGAGUCUCGCUCACCCAGUGCUCGGUGUUGCUCAGGCUGGAGUGCGGUGGCGUGGUCUGGCCUCGUGGCAGCCUCCGCCCCCCAGCCGCCUGCCUUGGCCUACCAGGGUGCUGAGAUUGCAGCCCCUGCCCGGCCGCCGCCCCAUCUGGGAGGUGGGGAGCGCCUCUGCCCGGCCGCCCCGUCUGGGAAGUGAGGAGCGCCUCUGCCCGGCCACCCACCGUCUGGGAAGUGAGGAGCGCCUCUGCCCGGCCGCCCACCGUCUGGGAAGUGAGGAGCGCCUCUGCCCGGCCGCCCACCGUCUGGGAAGUGAGGAGCGCCUCUGCCCGGCCGCCCACCGUCUGGGAAGUGAGGAGCGCCUCUGCCCGGCCGCCCACCGUCUGGGAAGUGAGGAGCGCCUCUGCCCGGCCGCCCACCGUCUGGGAGGUGAGGAGCGCCUCUGCCCGGCCUCCCAUCGUCUGGGAGGUGAGGAGCGCCUCUGUCCGGCCGCCCCGUCCCGGAGGAAGUGAGGAGCGCCUCUGCCCGGCCGCCCCGUCCGGGAAGAAGUGAGGAGCGCCUCUGCCCGGCCGCCCCGUCCGGGAAGAAGUGAGGAGCGCCUCUGCCCGGCCGCCCCGUCCGGGAAGAAGUGAGGAGCGCCUCUGCCCGGCCGCCCCGUCCGGGAAGAAGUGAGGAGCGCCUCUGCCCGGCCGCCCCGUCCGGGAAGAAGUGAGGAGCGCCUCUGCCCGGCCGCCCCGUCCGGGAAGAAGUGAGGAGCGCCUCUGCCCGGCCGCCCCGUCCGGGAAGAAGUGAGGAGCGCCUCUGCCCGGCCACCCAUCGUCUGGGAAGUGAGGAGCGCCUCUGCCCGGCCACCCAUCGUCUGGGAAGUGAGGAGCGCCUCUGCCCGGCCACCUAUCGUCUGGGAAGAAGUGAGGAGCGUCUCUGCCUGGCCGCUCCGUCUGGGAAGUGAGGAGCUCCUCUGCCCGGCCGCCCUGUGUCUGGGUAGAAGUGAGGAGCUCCUCUGCCUGGCCGCUCCGUAUGGGAGGUCUACCACGGAGGCCAGAAGCAAUGUGGGGGCUGGACGUGGUGGCUCACGCCUGUGGUCCCGGCACUCUGGGGGGCGAGGCGGGUUGAUCACUUCGGGCUAGGAGUUCGAGACCAGUCUGGCCAACUUGGCGAAACAUGAAGAAUACAACAGACAAACCAACCAACCAACUCAGUGACAACAAAACAGGUCUACCCUGGAGUCAUACUCUAAGUUUUUCUAUUUUCUUCCCUUUCUGAUUCUUUAUCCCACUUUCUUUUUCUUCCUCUUCCUUCUCCCUCUUCUUUGUCAAAUAGAGGAUUGAGUUAUUAUCACUGAUCCAUAUAAAGUCCCUCUCUCAUUUAUUUUAACUCCCACCCCCCAUUUCUAUUCCCCGACUUCCCAUGUGCAACCUUCCUAAUAUGUUUGAUAUG